AUCAAAACAGACAAUGAAAAUGACUAUAAUUAUUGUGUCUAUGACUCGGAUAUUGCAACCGGGUAUGGUGUUGGUGCGUUCUUGUUCCUCAUGGUAAGUUAAGUCCUUGUAAUGGUGGCAAGGAAAUGCUUCUAUUGUGGGAAGGCUUUGAGACCUGUAGGUGCAAGGGCGUGGGCAAUUAUUUUCUUCAUAAUCUGCUGGUACGUUCCCACAUUGACAUGGAUACCCGGGAUAUGAACUACGAAACACUUCAAUAGGUUUCUAUAUGUAAGAGUUGAAUCUCUUAUGUGCAGGUUGUUCUUCCUAAUUGCGGAGGCAUGCUUUCUUGCUGGUUCAGUGAGGAAUGCUCAUCUUACCAGAAACUUAUAACAGCUAGUUUUUGGCUCAUUUAAUGCUCGCCCAACCACCACAACGGUCGGAUUUUUGGAUCUAUCUACCAUCUACUAUAAAUAUGGGUUGGGAGAACCGAUUGAAGGUUGUUGGAAAACAUUUAAUAUAUUCAACCACCGAGCUUUCAUUUUUACAUCGAGCGAUCAAUAUCUUCUCUCAUUGUAUUUACAUUUCUAAGGCUUUGUAUACACCGUUACAUUCAUUGUAAGCCUAAAUUUAUCAAUUGGAGAGAGCUUGUAACUAACAGUCUGUACUCUUAGACUCUUAUUUUCACGAUUACUGUAAUUGUCCUAGCGUAAGCUAGAGGGCCCAUUAUAUUGGGAGGUUUGUAAGUUUUUUCCUAGUCACGGACUAGAGGACCUACUCGGGUUGAGUAGGGGGUUGAUAGUGAAUUUGCUUGAAAAUCCUUAGUGGGUAGCUAAGGUAGUGGACUAGGCUUGGAAAG